rnacentral:lncRNA from 1 species
CAAGUUAUUACACCUGAAAACGUGGACCCUCAUUGUGUAACCAUGAGAAAGUGAUUUAAACUCUCAAGGUUAAUUCUCUUAGUGCCCCACCUGGAUCCUCUUUACAGGCAGUGCGCCCACCCCCUGGCUGCUGUUUGUGUUGCCUGAUGACAAUUCACAGCUGCCCCUACUCCUGAAAAUAGUCCUCAGCCAAAUAGAAGUCUCCUUGCCCAGGAGGCAACACCCGCUACUGCCCAGGGCAGAUCUCAGCCAAUGGCAGCAGACUUAAUGGGACAAAAAGCUGGCCCCCUUGCCUGAAGGUGGGCUUAGUUUUACGGUGAAACUCCAGCCUCUCUGUGGAAUCAAACUGAAACUAAUCUUUAGCAGUCUUGUUGCUCAGGAACAAAACUUUAAGACAGCUGGCAUCAGAGAUGGUCUCAGGAAGCUGACUCUGAGGACGGGAUUCUGGAGUUGGCUUGCUUGCUGGCUGGAUGGCAAUGAAGACCCCAUAGCUGAAGUUGCAGGUCCUUCUAGUUGUGGGAUAUGGGACGCCGCCUCAACGUGGCCUGAUGAGCAGUGCCAUGUCCGCGGCCAGGAUCCGAACCCUAGGCCACGGCAGCGGAGCGCGCGAACUUCACUCGGCCCCAGAACCGGCCCCUCCAAAAGCUUUGUUUCUUCAUGUAGCCCCUGGAGAACUACACUGCACUUGCAAGAAAGAAUGAGAACAAAAACGCGAAUAAUGUCUUAGUACUACAAAAAUAAUUUUAACCUUGCAGAACCCCUAAAAGACUCUUGAAAACCCCCACAGAAGGUCCUUGGACCACACUUUGAGAAAGUUUUUUCUCCAAGAAAUUCCGUAGAACAUUAAUUCUUCAAAAAGUUAACAGAUGUUGAACCAAGGGGAAAAAAAAAGAAGGUAUAUCCAAGUGACUUUGGGAAAACAAGUUUCUAUACUACAGGACUUCCGAGACUGCAUGUUCUGGAGCAGAAGGAAAAAUACUACGGGUUCAGGAAUACAGAGGAGCUGCUGCGCAAGAUGGCCACUGGAUGGCGCUGCUGUCCCACUCGCAGAUGACCUAAGCGUCUGAAUCGGGAAAUGGCUUCUAGCUCUUGGAAGCUCAAAGUCCCUGGAAAGCUGGAAGACUCACACAGUACUUUCUUAUUUUAAUUUUUUUUUUUAAAUAAAGCAGUGAUUAAAAGUUGCCACAAAGGCCAGUGUAAACUCUUUUCUCCUCAGAACAAAGGAUGUUUUCACUUUACCCCGAACUGGGGGCUUUCAGCUUAUCAAAAUCAACAGAAACGUUUUGGAAGCAGCUUCCAAGUUCAUCACUCUGGAUUGAGGUUCUGAGGGGUCCAGAAUGUGGAGGUGAGAGUCUCUGACCUCAAGAGCUCCCCUAGAAUGUGAGAGAAACCAGAAUGUUCUCAGCCAAUAUCCUCAGGUCUGGUUAAUGUGAUUGUUUUACAAUAGCGCAGAGUUAAUGGGACCAGCUGGGUAUGUCUGCACUGAGGAAGGAUGGGGACAUGUUGCAAAAGCUGUCCUGAAGGGCCAGCAGCUCCAU